UCCUGGGUGGUAUAAACGGUUAAUGCACUUGGCUGCUAACUGAAAGGCUGGAGGUUCGAGUCCACCCAGAGGAU
rnacentral:tRNA from 1 species